rnacentral:rRNA from 1 species
CUACGUAGGGGGCGAGCGUUGUCCGGAAUGAUUGGGCGUAAAGGGCGCGUAGGCGGCCCGGUAAGUCUGGAGUGAAAGUCCUGUUUUUAAGAUGGGAAUUGCUUUGGAUACUGUCGGGCUUGAGUGCAGGAGAGGUAAGUGGAAUUCCCAGUGUAGCGGUGAAAUGCGUAGAGAUUGGGAGGAACACCAGUGGCGAAGGCGACUUACUGGACUGUAACUGAAGCUGAGGCUCGAAAGUGUGGGGAGCAAACAGGAUUAGAUGCCCGGGUAGUCCACACUGUAAACGAUGAAUUCUAGGUGUAGGGGGUAUCGACCCCUUCUGUGCCGCAGGCAACACAAUAAGCAUUCCGCCUGGGAAGUACGGCCGCAAGGUUGAAGCUCAAAUGAAUUUACGGGG